rnacentral:sRNA from 2 species
UCCUGCAACUCCAGGUAGGAUUAUCCACGUAGCGAAUCAUUUCUUCAGCAAGCCGAUGAGGAGGCGCCGGGGUUAUCCUGCUCGUUCCUCGAUACCCUGUCCAGUGUUCUCUGGACAACAGAAGAUUACCGCUGCCGUCUGUCACGAGCGAAACACUCUGAAGCGAAAUAUUUUGCGGAGGUUUAAUAUCAGUGGAAUCUUUCCACCUUCCAGGGCGGGGAGCCAAUGACGCUGCUGAUUUGUUGAAGGCCAACAUGAAUGUGCAUAGGCGGAUACGUUAGUUUGUAUGGAGCUUUGGUCGGUGAUUUACGCUGCGGGCCCGCUCAACGUCUUUUUUCGUUGAACUAUCACUUACAUACGCAGGC